rnacentral:rRNA from 1 species
UACGGGGGGGGCAAGCGUUGUUCGGAAUUACUGGGUGUAAAGGGCUCGUAGGCGGCCAACUAAGUCCGACGUGAAAUCCCAAGGCUUAACCUUGGAACUGCGUCGGAUACUGGAUGGCUUGAAUUCGGGAGAGGGAUGCAGAAUUCCAGGUGUAGCGGUGAAAUUCGUAGAUAUCGGGAGGAACACCGGUGGCGAAGGCGGCGACCUGGGUCGAGACUGACGCUGAGGCGCGAAAGCGUGGGGAGCAAACAGG